UGUGAAACCGAUAGCACGUUGAAUGCACGAGUUCCUCCACAGAUCACUGAAGUUAAGCAAACGUUGCGCGUGGUUAGUACUUGGAUACUACCUGGAGAAGAACACUCAGUUUCAUGA
rnacentral:rRNA from 1 species